AGUGAACGCUGGCGGUAGGCCUAACACAUGCAAGUCGAACGGCAGCACAGUAAGAGCUUGCUCUUACGGGUGGCGAGUGGCGGACGGGUGAGGAAUACAUCGGAAUCUACUUUUUCGUGGGGGAUAACGUAGGGAAACUUACGCUAAUACCGCAUACGACCUACGGGUGAAAGCAGGGGAUCUUCGGACCUUGCGCGAUUGAAUGAGCCGAUGUCGGAUUAGCUAGUUGGCGGGGUAAAGGCCCACCAAGGCGACGAUCCGUAGCUGGUCUGAGAGGAUGAUAAGCCACACUGGAACUGAGACACGGUCCAGACUCCUAAGGGAGGCAGCAGUGGGGAAUAUUAGACAAUGGGCGCAAGCCUGAUCCAGCCAUACCGCGUGGGUGAAGAAGGCCUUCGGGUUGUAAAGCCCUUUUGUUGGGAAAGAAAAGCAGCAGGUUAAUACCCCGCUGUUCUGACGGUACCCAAAGAAUAAGCACCGGCUAACUUCGUG
rnacentral:rRNA from 1 species